UAUUAGUUAGAGAGUAUUAAAAAUGAAAAAAUAAAUUUGACAUGUUUUAGCUAUGAGAACAGUAAAAUAAUAAAAUAAUUUUUCCUAAAUGCUUUUUUCGACGUCUAAAAUGGUGCUUUUUCUGACAAGAGCUUGUUUAACCCUGAAACUCAAUACUAAAUGGGGCCAUAUUUCCUUAUAUUAUAUAUCUGCCCACUUGACCCUCCUUUUCACACCCUUUCCCUGUCCUCCUUCCUUUUCACACCCUUUCCCUGUCCUCCU
rnacentral:misc_RNA from 1 species